ACAGGCAGAAUUCCGGACACCUAAGGCAGACGGCGCUGUGAAGGACCUGGUAUAUAAAUCCUGGGUGGCUUGUUGCUCAGUCUUUCGGGCGGCGCCAUCUCAGCUGUCUGGACGUGAGGAGUCGUCGGGUUUUAAAAUAUCCGUUCAGAUAACAGUGAAGACCACAAAAUGAACCUCCUCGUUGAAUCUGCCAAGGUGAGGACCGACGGUCCGACCGGCUGUUGCUGCACCACGUGGAGAGCCGGAUGAAGAUCACAACGAUGGAUGCAGCAGCAGCUCCUCAGGGUCGUUCCCCUGACUGAAUUUAAUAUUGAGGGAGGAGUGAAGUCUGCAGCCACGUGCUGAUGGUGUUCACACUGGGGUGACCAGAUUGAGACGCUUUGAGAUCGUCCAUGUCUGCACCCUGAUGGAAAUGAGUUGGAGUGACAGGCUGCAGCUGAAUGACUGUGGCAGGUCGAGCUCCUACAGCCAGCCACACAGUUACUGGACCAGGUACUGCGAGUGGGGACUGUAACCAGCUUCAACACUGGUCAAUAUCAAGUCAUCCAGGAUAUGAAGGCAUCCAGAACAGUCGGAUCAUUCAGCUAAAUGAGUGAGCUUCUGAAAACAAGCUCUCAGUAGGGUGUCGCAGGUCCUGUUGAACUGUUGACAUGCAGAUGUCUUUAAUGAAAUUUCCAAUAAAAAUGUCUAAGAGAC